rnacentral:lncRNA from 1 species
UGUGCUGCCCAUACUGGUCUUGAAUUCCUGAACUCAAGCGAUUCACCUGCCCCAGCCUCCCAAAGUGCUGAGACUACAGGUGUGAGCCACCACACCUGGCCUGGUGUUCACACAUCUUAAAUCCAUCUUAUCUGGGAUCAACAGCCAAUUCUUCCACAUACCCCUGCAGGGCUUCACAGGAAACCAGUUUUAGCUACCCCUCACCCAGCCACAUACAGAGGAGCUCACACUCACUGGUAUUGGCACAUAACGCACCAUAGAUGAGACCAGAAGCACAGAGCUUCCCCUGUGAGAAGAAAGGGAGAUGAGAAGAGAUGAAAGUUCAAUAAAGAGACCAGGUGAGCCAGGAAAUUGUAUUUUUAUGCUAUGAGGAAAUCAGUUCAGGAUUCAGGGUGAAAGCAUAAAAGUUUGGGAACAAUUUGGAACACUAGAGGGAAGCUGGACAUCUAAAUUAGUGGAUACCGAGGCCACUGCUGGGUUCAAAGCCACCCAAUACACACAGCCAGAGUGGCAUCCCUUGGGUCAGGGUCCCGAGGCUGAGGGGCAGCACUCCUGGAGUGCAGAGCCACUCAUGUGUCACAGAGACCCCUGUGAGGUCUGGGCAUCACUAACGAGUCCCAGCCUGGCCUGCCCCAGGGCAGCCACGAGACACAGGACAGCCAGGCUCUUCAUGGGAAGGUGAGGAGAAGCAAACCCAUAGGGCCUCUGACCAGAAGGAAAACUGAUGACAUGCCCACAGAUGAGGGCAAGCAUAACUGGAGCUGGCGGCUCUGGGUGACUUCACUCUGGCCCCUUCAUCCCUGCAGCUGCCACUGCAGGGGCAAGGUCCAUGCCACUCUCCGGGAUGAAAGAAACAAGGGUCAGUGAAAGGUCCUUUGAGGACCUGGAAGGCAGGCCCUGCCCCUCCGCAGCAAGUGUCUCUUCAUCUUCAUCACAACUGCCACAUCCCAUGAGGAAGAAGACCGGCUCACUGGCUCCCAGUGUACUCCCCACCAAGGGACUGACCUCUGCCACGCACACUAGUCACCGCCUCCACAGUGCUUCAGGCCUGUGGAGGAAAUGA